rnacentral:tRNA from 1 species
GGUUCUAUGGUGUAGCGGUAGCACUUCGGAUUCUGACUUUCGCAGCCUAACUGGGUCGCAGUAUUUUCCGGCAACCCGGGUUCAAUCCCCGGUAGGACCU